rnacentral:rRNA from 1 species
CCUACGGGAGGCAGCAGUGGGGGAUAUUGCACAAUGGGGGGAACCCUGAUGCAGCGACGCCGCGUGGGUGAAGGAGCGUUUCGGCGCGUAAAGCCCUAUCGGCAGGGAAGAAGGAGGACGGUACCUGACCAAGAAGCCCCGGCUAACUACGUGCCAGCAGCCGCGGUAAUACGGAGGGGGCAAGCGUUAUCCGGAUUUACUGGGUGUAAAGGGGGCGCAGACGGCAGCGCAAGCCAGGAGUGAAAGCCCGGGGCCCAACCCCGGGACUGCUCUUGGAAGUGCGCGGCUGGAGUGCAGGAGGGGCAGGCGGAAUUCCUGGUGUAGCGGUGAAAUGCGUAGAUAUCAGGAGGAACACCGGUGGCGAAGGCGGCUUACUGGACAGUAACUGACGUUGAGGCUCGAAAGCGUGGGGAGCAAACAGGAUUAGAUACCCGGGUAGUC